CUGAAUGCUGAUUUACCCCUUUUUUUGUCAUUCUUUUAUUUUCGUGUUAAUUUAAUGCUUGAGUUGGUUUUGGGUAAUGUUUUGAAUGCGAAACUAGAAGGAUAUGCUGCGUAUUGGUGGGAAUUUAAAUUUGAUGCAUUAAUUGUUUUAUUGAAUAGGCAAUCACUAAGGAUCAAACAUUUAGGCAUGUAUAUUUGGGUUAUGUUUAGGCAUGAGCACUAUGUUGCGGCAGUGGCUAAUACCGACAAUGGGUUACAGAUUUGUUUGUGCUUGGGAGAGCUAACGCGUUAUAUGGAGAACUUGAUAUGGUUAGAUAAGGCCUUGGGCUCUCUCCCUCUAAUGGAUGGAUUUUACGGGCGAGUUUUCCUUGGGCACUUAUUACAUAAACUGUUGAGCUUUUGAGUGAUCCCUAAAAACUUCAACUUGACUUUUCAGGCUAAUUUUAUAACAUCAUAAGUUGGUUUUGUUUCUAAGGAAAAUUAGUAUGCGUUACCUUAUAGCAGGGCAUUGAUUUUCUGCUUCUAGUAUGCUUCUAUAAUUUCUGCUUGCACAAAGUCCAAAUUGAGAUGUUAAUUAAAUUCUUAAUUAGUAAAUUUCAAUUGGUUGUGGAGAAGGGCAAAAGACAGAUGACAAGCUUGUAUUUUACUUGUCUGGAUGCUUAGUCCUACCUGAACUUUGUGAUGCAGGGAAAAUGUGGCAACACUUAUCAUUGUAGUUGCUUUAAAUUUGAUGGGGAAGAUUAAUUGCAAUUUGUUCUAUUUAAGACCGCUGAUGGUUAAUGUUUGUCAGACAAUGAUGUGGAACCUUUUAUUAAUAAAUGUUCUUUGUUAUUCUCCACAAUCCAAAGUCUAUAAUAACAGGUUAACCUAACUUUCAGUUGCCACUUUGCCUUUCAUAGUUUUGAUAUCUACUGAAUCCCAGUGUGGACAGUUAUCCCAAUCAAUGCAUCCAUUUAUCAUCUUCUGUACAAAAUUUUGGGGUUUGGUUCACUUGAAUUUCAGGGUCUUCCUCCCUUUUGUAAGUCUUAUUAUGGUUUAAUGAAUAGUUUACAUGUCAGAUUUGCUGUGCAAUGCAAUAAAAAAUAAAGGAAAGAUUAGUGUUCCAAGGAAGGCUUGAGAUGGUGACUGUGACCUCUUCUAUUGAAAUCUGAGAUGACUGUUUAUCAUAGUACUUCCAUCAAUUUGGGGUGAAAAGGGCUCAUAGCUUCUGGUAGGUUUAGUUUGGUCGCAUUGCUUGAUGUUGAGUUCUUCAUUAUUUCUUUUCUUUGUGGAAUUUCUUUAGUAAAGAUGCUGUUGACAUAAGAGUUUUGAACCUAGGUUAUUUCCAUACAAUUUGUAUGUAUGGUGUUGUGAAAUUGUUUUAGAUUGGGAUCAGUUCAUACCAUGUUACUAGUAAUUAUAGCUGCUUGCAUUUUAUUGUUUGAUGUUUGAAGCCUUUGAUCCAUUGUACUUGAGUUGCAGAGAAGUUUCAUUGGAAAUUGCAGUUUUUCUCAUCAACUUUUAUGUUCCUCAUAUUUAGUAGAUUAACGCAUCAUAUUUUCGAACAUAAAUGCUGUUCCUGGUGCUAUUUCUGAUGCUUUGAAUUACAGCUGAUAUUAUGAUGUACAGAAUAUGGCCUCUAUACCAGCUAUUCAAGCAUGUGCUAUACAUGAACAAAUAUAUGUAUCAAAUAUAUCCCAAGGGCCAUUUUCUAGUGCAAUAGUAAAUGUUUGCAGCAAUUGAUCAAGAGAUAAGGUUUGAGAUAUUUUGCAACCAUUUUGUGUAAAAUUACUAAAGGAUAGAAUUCUCUUUGAAAUUUCAUUCCUAAUUCAAUGAAAGAUCCAUUGUCCUGGAAUGAUAGAUGCCUUCCUCUUGUAAUCAUGAAGUUAUGGUCUUGCAUAGACUCAAGCUCGAGAAGCUAUUUUAUGCUGAAGGUAGGGACUAUGUGCUUGUUUGUUAUUGCGUUUGGAGGUCUAAAACUACUUUUCUGAAUAAAAGUACCAUUAUGCUGUUGAAAAAAGCAGUUUGGUAAAAGUUGUUUUGUUAUUUUAG
rnacentral:misc_RNA from 1 species